rnacentral:rRNA from 1 species
UACAGAGGUCUCAAGCGUUUGUUCGGAUUCAUUGGGCGUAAAGGGUGUGUAGGUGGCGCGCUAAGUCGGGUGUGAAAUUUCGGAGCUUAACUCCGAAACUGCAUUCGAUACUGGCGUGCUUGAGGACUGGAGAGGAGACUGGAAUUCAUGGUGUAGCAGUGAAAUGCGCAGAUAUCAGGAGGAACACCGAUGGCGAAGGCAGCUCGCUGGGACGGUACUGACGCUGAGGCGCGAAAGCGUGGGGAGCAAACAGG